GUGACUCAUGCCUUUUCACCCCACCUCUGCCAGUUUAAACUCUGCGCAUUGUUUUUUCUUGACCCAACCAAGGUUCCUCCUCUUCUGGGAAGUCUUCCUUGAUUAGACCAGAGGGCAAAGCCAGGCCAGCAGCCAGCCCAGCUUCUCCACUCACUGAAGGAGAGACAGAGGUUCCUAGAGGGUCAGGCCUCUGCUAAGGCACAAACAGUCCCCUCUUCCUUUCCUGUCUCCUGGUGGGAAGCUUCUGACUGCCGGAUCCGAUUCUCCUUGCACGAGGCCACAUUUCCUCCCAGCUCUGCCCUCAGUUGUCCCUGGGGGGUGGGAGUGGGUUCGAGUCAGGUCACUCCACCAGCCUGCCAGGGCCAGAAGGCAGAGCCACCAUCCCUGUCUCCCUGCAGCAAGUGAAUCCCAGCCCCUCACACCUGUGAGGUUUUGCCAGGAGAAGCCUGCUUCUGCCUGGGCUCACCUUGCUCCCCAGCAGCUGUCUGAGGCCUCUCCAAGAGCCUCCUUGGCCCCCUUCUCAUUCUGUCUUGCUCAAUAUGGGCAGAUCUAGGAGAGUGGGAACCCUAGGGGCUCCUGCAGGGGCUGGGCCGGCACUGACCUUACAGCCCUUCACCCUCACCCCAUGUUCCUGCCCUGAUCCAGAGGGGAGUGCUGGGAGCAGGGAGCUGCUGGCCCCAGAACUGCUGAGACCCCCAAUCCUUAUCGCUCAUUCCCACCUGCCAGCCUGGCCAGAUCGGGGAGGGAAAGGAGGCUGGGCCCGGGCCAGGGUGGCGCUUAAUGACCCUCCGGGGGCCUAAUCUCAGACUGGCAGCCACGGAGUGGCUCAGGCGCGCUCCUGGAGAAGGCUGAUAACGCACCAGCUGGGCCCCCACCAUCUAUCGCUGCACAGCCAGUCCCAGGGGCAGCCUCCCAGGGCCUGGGGAGGGGGAGCCUCUGGACUAGGGCGGGGCUGGAGGCGAGCUCUCCACCCCCAGCCCUGAGGGAGGGGAUCCUGAGCUUCGUGAUUGGCAGACAAGGGAGAGACCCAGCCUGCAGGAGGGGUGGGCUGGGCCUGGUGGGAACCUCCAGACACCUGUGCUCCUUCUCUCUUUCCUGCUCUCUUCCCAACCUUUUCUCCCCACGUAGGACCUCUCCUGCCCAGGCCUGUCUCCUCUUUGUCUCUCCCAGCCUCCAUCCAUCUCUGUCUCCCUGUUUCUCAGUCUCUCCACCUCUGUUUUUGUCUCAUCCUCUGCCUCUCUCUCUCCUGUUUGCCUUUCUCCUCCUCCACCUGAGCUCAGUGCCCACCUCCUCUUUCUCUCUUGCAUCCCUUUUCAGUUUCCAGCUGGUUCUCUUGGUUGUCCCCUUCCCAGCUGUCCCCUGCCUCCUAAGCUUCCUUGAUGUCAACCCUUGGCCGGGCAGUUCCCACGAUCUCAUUGGUCUCACUUCUGUGUGUGGUAUCAUCUCUCUGUGGUCCCUUCCACCAGCUAUCUGCCAGGAUUGCAGGCUGCCUCAAGCCCUGGCUCUCAGCCCAGAAUGUCCUCUUACUGUUGAGGACAUUUUUGCUCUUCCUGGAACAGGGCUUGCACCUUGUUUUCCCCUCUCCCACCUAAAACAUGUCCUGGGAGCCCUCCGGAACUCUGCUGCCUGGCAGUCCUUCAGUUUCGGGAGCUUUUCUGUCUGCCCGUGGCCUCGGCUGCCACCUGGUGGCUGCACGCUCCAAAGGAAGCGUAGAUUGAUGAGAGCCUCGGAAGUUGAGCUUCAGGCGCGGCUCUUCCCCGUCACACUGGGACCGGACGCAUUUCCAUGGCGUGGUCCCAGGAACCUCUCAGAGUGAACUGAAUUGGAUGCAAGAUCACGGUGCGUCAGAGCUAGCAAGAUCCUUAGGAUCAUUUAGCCUGGUUUACUAAUAUUACACUAUGGAAUUUAAGCCCAAGGAAUGGAGAGUACCCGACGAGCGUUAUGUAAGGAGUCGAGUGAGAAGUAAGCUGGAUGCUCUGCUUGGCUGGCAGGUACAGAAUGUGCCAGACCCAUCUGUACCAGCCUGGAUCUCUUGAGGCAUCAGCACAAUGGACCUGGCCACACCAGUUUAUUCCACACCGCUGAGGCUGGUACAGUUCUGGACAUGGACUUUGUAAAUAAAUAACUGGGCCUUUGGUCAGUUCUAGCUGUGAGCUUGGAGGUAUGGGGUGGGAUGGUGAGGACAGGUGGGGGCAAAGUGAGGAAAGGGGCAGGGAGGAGAGGGGAGAGAGAAAAAGGGGAAUGAGACAGGCUGAGCUAGUGAGCUGGAAUUGGAGGUUGGGAACAGGCUUUCCUUGAUGGUGGUGGUGCUGUUUUCUUUUUAAUUUUAAUUUAAUUUUAUUUUAAGUUCCAGGCUACAUGUGCAGGAUGUACAGGUUUGUUACAUAGGUAAAAACAUGGUGGUUUGCUGCAACUGUCAACCCAUCACCUAGAUAUUAAGCCCAGCAUGCAUUAGCUAUUUAUCCUGAUGCUCUCCCCACCCCUGCCCCAACAGGCCCCACUGUAUGUUGUUCCCCUCUUUUUUGUUCACUUAAAAGAUCCCACUUUUAAGUGAGAGUAUGCAGUGUUUGGUUUUCUGUUCCUGUGUUACUUUGCUGAGGAUAAUGGCCUCCAGCUCCAUCCAUGUCCCUGCAAAGUACAUGAUCUCAUUCCUUUUUAUGUCUGCAUAGUAUUCCAUGGUAUAUAUGUACCAUAUUUUCCUUAUCUAGUCUAUCAUUUAUGGGCAUUUGGGUUGAUUCCAUGUCUUUGCUACUGUGAAUAGUGCUGCAAUGAACAUAUGCUUGCAUGUAUCAUUAUUUUUUUAUUUUUUUUGAGAUGGAGUCUUACUCCCUCACCCAGGCUGGAGUGCAAUGGUGCAAUCUCUGCUCACUGCAACCUCCUCCUCCCGGGUUCAAGCAAUUCUCGUGCCUCAGCCUCCCGAGUAGCUGGGACUACAGGUGCCUGCCACCACACCCGGCUAAUUUUUUUGUUUUUUUGUAUUUUUAGUAGAGACGGGGUUUUACCAUGUUGUUCAGGCUGGUCUCGAACUCCUAUCCUCAGAUGAUCCACCCUCCUGAGCUUCCCAAAGUGCUGGGAUUACAGGCAUGAGCAACCACACCCAGCCACAUGUAUCUUUAUAAUAUAAUGAUUUAUUCCUUUGGGUACACACCCAGCAAUGGGAUUGCUAGGUCAAAUGCUAUUUCUGGUUCUAGGUCUUUGAGGAAUCACCACACUGUCUUCCACAAUGGUUGUACUAAUUUACAUUUGCUGGUGCUGUUUUCUACAUUGAAUCUGAGGGCUACUGUAUGAUGUGUAAGACACUUUCUGAUUGGAGCCUCACAAUGAUCCUACCAGAGCAUGCAGUCCAUUUGGAAACAUGCAUGUGGGAAAGUGGGGAGGGACCCUGUCAAGCAUCUAAGAGGAGUGGUGGCAUUUGCUGUGUCCACCUCCAUCCUUCCCACUCACUACUCAGCACCUAUAGCCUUGUCGCUCUCCCCAACACUCUGCUGAGACUGUUGUCACCAAAAACACUAUUGUCCGGCUCCCUGUUGAAAGGUAAGAUGGUCUAUCUGAUUCUUCCGCUCUCAGUAUAAUAGGAUGAUCACCAUUUUAUCUGGGAAGCUGUUCCUGACCACCUGCCCUCAGCUCAUCAAGCUUCUGUGAGCCUGCAGGCUCACCCUGGUCAUGCCGCCCAUCUCUCUGAACAAGAUUGUGAACUCUGAACUUUGUGAGGCAAAGACCACAUACACCUCUUUAUUGCAAUGUGCAAGUGUCCUGGAAUAUAGGAGGUCUCCGAGAGCUAUGUGUUGACAUGGAGACCUUAUCCCUUGCACUCAGUUACACUGCUUCCAGUAAAGUAUCAACUUCUAGAUCAGCGCCUUCAGCUCCACUCCCUCCUGCACAGCUCCACAGGUACCUCAGGUCCAAAAUGGAAUUCUUGAUCUUUCACCAACCUGAGUCCUCUGUUCCUGUAAGUGGCAUCCAUUCACCCAGACCAGAGAUAGGGGAGUCACCCAGAAUCCCCCUCUCCCUCAGUCCCUGAGUUUCACUUUCCAACAUAUCUCCCUCCAGGUUCUUUCCAACACAUCUCCCUCCAGGUUCAAGCCUCGAUCUUGCCUGAUGUUUGCAGCUGCCUGCUCCCUUGUUUUUAUUUUUACCCCCAAGUUUUCCUCUACACUGCAGCUAGGGAGACCUUUCCUGCUGGAAUACAGCCAUUCACAUCUGCGAGAGGAAUCUAAACUCAAGGACCGACUCUCAGGAGAUGAAGAUCCAAUCACUCUAUCAAAGAAUAUGAGCAUUUCCGAGGCUCUUGUAAGACAUCCAGCCUCCAGAACUGUGAGUACUAUGCUGAAGAGAGCCCUCAUCAGCACCUGACCAACCUGACCAUGCUGCACCCUCAUCUUAGACGUUCAGCCUCCAGAACUGUGAAUACUAUGCUGAAGAGAGCCCUCACCAGCACCUGACCAUGCUGCACCCUCAUCUCAGAUGUCCAGCCUCCAGAACUGCACCAAGAUCUACGGUUCCCUGGAAGAAUGUAUAGAGCUGAGGAGCUGAAAGGAAUAAACUACUCUCAAGUAAACAUCUUUGGGUACUUUCAGCAACUUCAAAUUGUUCUCACCUUGAUCCAGCUGAGAAUGGUAAGUAGGCAUAGGGGUGUCUCUGAUCAGAAUUCUCCUGAGAGAACCUCAAGGGGUCAAAGACCUGAAAUGAGAGGACAACCCCAACACCAUCCCCCAAACAACAUGAACACAUUUCUUCACCUACCACCUAGCACCGAUCAAUAGAAAUAUAAUGUGAUCUACAUGUGUAAUUUAAAAUGUUCUGGUGGUCACAUUUUUAAAAGGUGAAGUUAAUCUUAAUAGAGUUUAUUUAACCAAAAAUUACCAUUCCAACCUGUAAUCAAUAUAAAUAAUUACUAAAAGGAAAUGUUUCACAUUUUUUUAGGGUACUAUGUCUUCAAAAUCCAGCACGUAUUUUAAACUUACAGCACAACUCAAUUCCAACUGGCCACAUGUCAUGUGCUCAGUAGCCGUAUGUGGCCCGUGGCUACUACACUGGGCAGUGUACCUUCAGACCUGCAGACCUUGCAGCUUCACAGCUGAUUUGUCUGAUACCCAGGCAAACAAAAAUACUAUGGCAAGUGGUAUUAUUUUCACUAUGGAGAUACAUCCACUUAGAAAUGGAUGUGCAUCCACUUAGAAAUCAAGUCAAAAUGAUGAUGUGGCCAAUUAUUACAGAGACAUAUACUCCAGCUUCCUGUUACAAGUAAUAGAUCUUAAACCUUAGUGGCUUACAUGAAAGAAAUCACUGAUACACGUCAAGAGUGUUUCAAGAACAUAGAAUAGUUUUACAUUUCUUUUGGCUUUUAUGUUUAUUUUUGUUUAAUUUGUGUCAUUUCCCUUAAUUAUAUAGCCACUUCUGUGCUUAGCUACCAAAAAGUGACUUGCACAGCAUUAGUUCUUGGAAGUAUUUAUGUACAAGAGAGAAUCAUACCUUUGGGUUUUUCCAGACAGCAGGGUUGUGGUGAAGACCCCAAAUACUAAGAACCACGGUGAUCCCUAAGAAAGGAGGGAAAUAAAAGAGACUGCAGGAGAAAGAGCAAGUUGUGGGCUACUGUGCUCUUAAACAAGACUUUUGUUCUUGAAGGGAAGAGCUAGCUCCUGGCAAUGCUCUGCCUGCUGUAGCUGAUGACACCAGUGAGGAGCACCUAAGAAGAUGCGGCUUGGGUUGGCACCUUAGCUUUCCACACAACAAUUUACUGAAUUCAUGAUUCUAUCUUAAGUAGCUGUUGGUGUCAUAUCAAAGUGAUAAACCAUGCUUAUAUUUUCUGCUAUGUUUGGAAAUUACUUAAAUAUUUGUUUUUUGUUUUUGUUUAGAGUCAGGGUCUGGCCUGUCAAUCAGGCUGGAGAGCAGUGGCGUGAACAUUGCUCACGGUAACCUUGAACUUCUGAGCUCAAGUGAUCCUCCUGCCUCAGUCCCCCAAGUAGGCAGGAAUACAAGCAUGCAACACCAUGCCUGGCUAUCUCUCUCUUUUUUUUUUUUUGUAAAGACAGGGUCUCCCUAUGUUGCCCAGGCUAGUCUCAGACUCCUAACUUCAAGCAGUCUUCCCACCUUGGUGUCACAAAAUAUUGGGAUUAUAUGCGUCAGCCACUGUGCCUGGCCUAAAUACCUAUUAAUGGACUAUUAAGCACUCCUGGAGACAAUUUAGGUAUAAAAGCACAGAACUGGCUGGGUGCAGUGGCUCAUGGCUGUAGUCCCAGCGCUUUGGGAGGCUGAGGAGGGCUGGUCUCGAGAUCAGGAGCUUGAGACUAGCCUGGCCAACAUGGUGAAACCCCAUCUCUAAUAAAAAUACAAAAAUUUGCCAGGCGUGGUGUGCACCUGUAAUCCCAGCUACUCGGGAGGCUGAGGCAGGAGAACUGCUUAAACCUGGGAGGCAGAGGUUGCAGUGAGCCGAGAUUACGCCACUGUACUCCAGCCUGGGCUACAUAGCAAGACUCUGUCUUGAGAGGAAAACGCACACACACACACACAGAACUGUGAUUCUGUCAUGCAGAUCCCAUGACAAAUUUCCAUUGGUGCUAUUCACAUAUGGAAAGUGGAGAAUUUUGGCAAAUAUCCAUGUGGUUUGGGGAGAAACAGAGUACAAAACAAAGGAGAGAGAAUGUGAGGGUUAUUUGGUUUCCAGAAAUAAUUCUAGCUUCCAGAAAUUAAUUCUGGGUCUGUCAGCAAAGUUACAGUAACAGGCUGUAGGUGUUUGCCAGAAGCAAUCCUGUUGGCUUGCUUCCUAAGACAUGAAUUAAUAGAACAUUGAAUCAGAUAAUAUGUCUCACAUGACCCCUCUGCUUCCUAUAAGCCCUGCUCAGAAACCUGUGUUGUUCCGAAGAACUCUAGGCUCCAGACUCAGGGUCUCCGCACAAGUUCUAGCUCUGCUCACAUCAGUUAAUGUCAUCUACACAUUGGGGCUGCCUCUGGAUUUUGGGCCACAUUGAAAGUACUUAAAAGUGUUCAGUGAACUGUAAAUCAUUGUAUAAGCGUCUGUUAACAUUGGAUUCCAAGGGGAAAAAUGAGAUAAUGGGUCUGAAGGCUCUAUAUUAACUAUUAAAUGUUGUAUAUUUAUAAGGGUGAUAUUAUGAUGAUGAGGCCAAAGAUCCCCCUUGGUCUUUCAGAUAAAGAUGCUGGUGCUAUUUUCCAUGAAGUUUCAGCUCGGUCUCAAACUCAGCCAAACAAAGAUUAUCUUAGAAAUGAUGUCCCACAAUGGAAGAGACCCUGGGCUGGGAUUCCAGAGACAUGGAUUCUGGGCUUAGCUUUGCUGCAACUGGCUAUGUGCCUUUGGGAAAGUCAUUGAAAUUCAUGUCUGACCAAAGCAUUAUCCUCUGAGCUCCUCAUAGGUGAUAAAACCUAAGUCACAUGUUAGCAUUAUCUUUUGACUUCUCCAAGUGCUAAGAGACUCACUAAUCUUUGUCACUGUGGUCUCCAGGAUCCCAUAGCCUCUAAGAACUGCUUAGGAAAAGAAUGUAAAGACCUGCAGGCAAUGUGCAUCCAUCUGGGAAGGUAAGUGGCUUGCUGAGAUCUCUGGAAAUGGACGGGACUGCAGGAAUCAAUCGGCACGUCUCCUUGAUGCACAUUGUGGUGUACGACAUCUCACCCAGCUGGUCCCUGUGAGGAUGAGGGAGGGAAGGGACUCAGAUAUCAUAACCAGUUUACUUUUUUUCUGUUUUCUGUUUGUUCCUGGUAAUUAUUACCCUCAGGUUAAAGCCAUUUUGCCACUGGUUUAUGUAACAGAAUGUUAAAAUGGGACUCUCUGCCUCAGGAUGAGCUGAGGUCCCAGAGGCAGAGGAACCAAAGAAAUAUAUCAUAUAUCCUUAUUAUAAAGUGAGCUGCUAAACUAGCAGUAAAACAUUUGCUAAGGAGAUUUCUAAAAACCAGUUUUGUAACUCUUAGCUCAUCAUAUAAAGUAAUAAUACAUAAAAAUGGCGAAGGAUUAAAGAGGAGAGGCUUAAGAAUUUUGAGAGAAAAAAUUAUUUAAAGUGUUGUUGGAAUGCCAGAGUGCCAUGGAAAAGGAAGGGUGCUUCCCCCAUCUUAAACAAGAGGCUUCAAGAGGAUCACUUAGAUGAUCUGACUUGUGCUCCUUGGAGUUUGGGGAGUACAGGACUGAUGUGAAAGGCUAUAACUCAGAACAGACAGAAAGGCAGAGGACAGCAGCAGAGGCAAGGCAAGGAUGUGCAACUGUGUCCUUAAACCAAUUAACUGGCAAGAGGGAAAGCUCUGGGACCAGCUUGAAAAAGAGUCUGCCUAAGGACAAUUAUUCUCUUGUCCCCUGAAUCACCUCUGGAAAGUUCUAGUGAGAGAGUCUCCAAGAAAGGGAGUUUCCUCUUGAGAGAAAGGGAAGCAUGGAAUAUCCACCAAGCCCUUUGGCAUGAUCACAAUAGUACCAGCCCUUUACUCCUUAUCCCCUUUCCUCCUAAAACCAUUCCUGGAGGGCCCAGAAACAGCAGCUACUGGGUAUUGGGGAGCUAGUCAGUAAGAAUAAGUCGAUGAUAAACCACUGCUGGCUUCUAGGACCAAAGAAGUACCAAGCUGGGAUGGAAAGAAGAGCUCAAGUGGAUAAGUAUUUGAAAGUUUCAGUAUUACACUGGGCCAGAUAGUUUAAUUACUGACCUAAGAUUGUUCUUGUGAUUUAAAUGAAUGAGAACUCUAUGAGACUUACUCAGGAUCUUUCCCCAGAGAUAAAAAGAACUUGCUCCACAAAGCAGGUUUAAAGUUUAUAAGUGGAAGAAGAAUAAAGUUUUUUUUAAAUUUGCAUCCUACCUAGUCUGCAUCCAAUCUAGUCAGAUUGGUUCCAUAAAAUGACUGCAUAUAUUUAGUCUGUUUAUCUUAUUGUGUUUUUAUAUGUUUUUCUGAUUACUUAUUUUGAAUGCAGGCUUUGGCCAUUAGGUAAUGUGAAAUUUUAAUUUUGAAUUCUUUCUUCCUCAAGCUCAGGAUAAAUAAGAGUAAUUCUGGCCAGGCGCAGUGGCUCACACCUGCAAUCCCAGCACUUUGGGAGGCCUAGGUGGGCGGAUCAUCUGAGGUCGGGUGUUCAAGACCAGCCUGACCAACAUGGAGAAACCCCGUCUCUACUAAAAAUGCAAAAUUAGCCGAGCAUGGUGGUGCAUGCCUGUAAUCCCAGCUACUCAGGAAGGCUGAGGCAGAAGAAUCGCUUGAACCUGGGAGGCAGAGGUUGCGGUAA
rnacentral:lncRNA from 1 species